rnacentral:rRNA from 1 species
UACGGGGGGGGCAAGCGUUGUUCGGAAUUACUGGGCGUAAAGGGCUCGUAGGCGGCCAACUAAGUCGGACGUGAAAUCCCCAGGCUCAACCUGGGAACUGCGUCCAAUACUGGAUGGCUUGAAUCCGGGAGAGGGAUGCAGAAUUCCAGGUGUAGCGGUGAAAUGCGUAGAUAUCAGGAGGAACACCAAUAGCGAAGGCAGCUCGCUGGGACGUUACUGACACUGAGGCGCGAAAGCGUGGGGAGCGAACAGG